rnacentral:ribozyme from 1 species
AUUUGUCUCUUCCAGAGCUUAGCAUUUUUUCCAUUUCUUUCUAAUUUCAUUCUCUUCAAGAACGGGACCAGCCGAGCACAGGGGGCACCUCUUUUUGAUUCCUGUAAAAGGUUCAGGAGGUUGUGCUGAAGAGGUUGGCAUGGCACAGAGUUGAGCAAACAUUGUGUCAAGUUCAUCAUCGAAUAUUUUUUGUACAUCCGCAAUCUUAGAAAAAAAAAAAAAAAAA